rnacentral:rRNA from 1 species
GUGAGGAAUUUUGCGCAAUGGCCGCAAGGCUGACGCAGCAACGCCGCGUGGGUGAAGAAGGCCUUCGGGUCGUAAAGCCCUGUCAGGUGGGAAGAACACCAUGGGGACGAAUAAGCUUCAUGGCUGACGGUACCACCAGAGGAAGCACCGGCUAACUCCGUGCCAGCAGCCGCGGUAAUACGGAGGGUGCGAGCGUUAUUCGGAAUUACUGGGCGUAAAGCGCGUGCAGGCGGUUUGGCAAGUCUGAUGUGAAAGCCCCGGGCUUAACCUGGGAAGGGCAUUGGAAACUGCCGGACUUGAGUACUGGAGAGGAAGGGGGAAUUCCCGGUGUAGAGGUGAAAUUCGUAGAGAUCGGGAGGAAUACCAGUGGCGUAGGCGCCCUUCUGGACGGUAACUGACGCUGAGACGCGAAAGCGUGGGGAGCAAACAGGAUUAGAAACCCGGGUAGUCC